rnacentral:rRNA from 1 species
AGUAGAUGAAGCGACCUGGAAAGGUCCGCGAAACAAGGUAACAGCCCUGUAAUCGAAACUUCGUUUCCUCCAGAGUGGAUCCUGAGUACGGCGGGACACGUGAAACCCCGUCGGAAUCCGGGAGGACCAUCUCCCAAGGCUAAAUACUUCCUAGUGACCGAUAGUGAACCAGUACCGUGAGGGAAAGGUGAAAAGCACCCCGGGA